rnacentral:rRNA from 1 species
GACGAACGCUGGCGGCGUGCCUAACACAUGCAAGUCGAGCGAGGAGAGUUCCUUCGGGAACAAACCUAGCGGCGGACGGGUGAGUAACACGUGGGCAACCUGCCUUGUAGAGGGGAAUAGCCUUCCGAAAGGAAGAUUAAUACCGCAUAACAUUACAGUUUCGCAUGAAACAGUAAUUAAAGGAGCAAUCCGCUACAAGAUGGGCCCGCGGCGCAUUAGCUAGUUGGUGAGGUAACGGCUCACCAAGGCGACGAUGCGUAGCCGACCUGAGAGGGUGAUCGGCCACAUUGGGACUGAGACACGGCCCAGACUCCUACGGGAGGCAGCAGUGAGGACUAUUGCACAAUGGGGGAAACCCUGAUGCAGCAACGCCGCGUGAGUGAUGAGGGUUUUCGGAUCGUAAAGCUCUGUCUUCGGGGACGAUAAUGACGGUACCCGAGGAGGAAGCCACGGCUAACUACGUG